rnacentral:rRNA from 1 species
AUGCCCCUGGUGCUUGUUGAGAUGGCAAACAUUGGAGUCAACAGAGUCGUGGAUUGCACUUGCCACGUCGAUGCCAUGAUAUUUGCCUUUGAAUGCUUUCAUGAUGGGUGGGGCAUGGUUAGGCUGGUGGGUGUCCCACACAAGGAGGUGGCAUUCAAUACCCACCUGAUGAACUUCCUAAGUGGCAAGACCUUGAAAGGUGCCUUCUUUGGGAACUACAAGCCGCACACCAACCUCCUAGAUGUUGUCAAGAUUUACACGAGGAAGGAGCUGGAGCUGGAGAAGUUCAUCACGCACGACGGACCUUUCUAA